rnacentral:tRNA from 1 species
GUUUAUAUAGUUUAACAAAAACAAUGGUCUUGUAAACCAUAAUUAGAUUUAUAUCUUUUAAACU